UGUAACGGUACUACAUGGACCUUCUCUGGUUCAGGAAACAGAGCAGCAGUAGAGCUGUUUACUCUGGGUCAGAUUAAUCAGAAUAACAACUCUACAGCAGACAGACUGAAACUAGCAGCAAAAUGUUCUCUGGUUAUAAAGAAGGUCAGAGAGGAAGAUGUUGGACGUUAUGACUGUCAACAAUGGAAACGAGGAGACAAAGAAACUCCAUCUCAUCAGUCUGCUGUAGUUCUGUCUGUUCUUCACAUGACUAAACAGAAGGAGAAUCAGAACGUGACAUUAAGCUGCUCUGUGGUGACCUCUGACCCCUGUAGAUACAAAGUGAAGUGGGUUUAUCAAGAUUUGGACGACAACCAAACUCCAGCAGAGACUGGCUGCUCUGCUACUUCCCCUUUUUUAUCAGGGAAUAAGUUAUCUCAGUGUAAAGUGACUCAUAGUUCUACUAAUGAAGAGUUUACCUUCAGUUUUCAGUCCUCAGAAAAUACAGGAGGAGAAGGUAAAUCAACUAAAACACCUGGAAACAACAAGUCAACGACAACUAAACGGAAUCCUGUCAAUGUUCCACCAACCGUACAAGGUCACCCAACCACUACUAGAAGAACAACAUCUGGGAAGGAAGCUUUAUCAAAUAAAGGU